rnacentral:rRNA from 1 species
UACGGAGGUGGCAAGCGUUGCUCGGAAUCACUGGGCGUAAGGGCGCGUAGGCGGGGAGGUAAGUCGGGUGUGAAAUCCCUCGGCCCAACCGAGGAACUGCGCCCGAGACUGCUUCUCUUGAGUCCCGGAGAGGAAGAUGGAAUUCCCGGUGUAGCGGUGAAAUGUGUAGAGAUCGGGAGGAACACCGGUGGCGAAGGCGGUCUUCUGGACGGUGACUGACGCUGAGGCGCGAAAGCGUGGGGAGCAAACAGG